UUUGAGUACAUACAAGCAUGAUUCCGCCUUUUAAUUGUUAAUUGCAUGCUAUAUGAUGUUGCUCAAAUGAAUAUGUUUUACAAAAUAAUUCCUUCAAGUGGUAUCAGAGCCUAGGUCUAGUAGUUGGUGAAUCCUUUUGGGUUUUGUAGUUCAUAGUAUGUGAUCUAAAAGUUGUAAUUGUUACAAGCUUUAUUCUUGCUUCUUUGAAAGUAAAUUUUGUUGGAAAAUUUGCUAUCUCAAAUGUUGUAGAUGUUGUUCAUAUGAGCAUGAAUAUUGGAGCUAAAAUUUGGUGCCAUGCUUUUGGGAAAAUUCGGCCAAAAUCAAAGGGUGAAUUUUUGGGUUCUUGUUUGACUUGUUAAAAGUGUUUUAAUGUGUUCUUUGGAACCCCUAAGUACCCUAGUUUGGUUAGAUGUUAUUUCCCUUAAGUAAGAAUGGUUUUGGAAUGUUUUUGGGUGGAAAAAGUUCAUGGAAAAAUUUGGGUUUUUCAUGGAUGUUCUUCAUUGUUCUUGAUGUUCUUGUCAAGAACAAAAAGGUUUGGUGUUUUGAUUCAAAGUUUUGAAUUAUUUCAUAAAGUAUAUGUGAUAUGUUUUUAAAUGAUUUAUUAUGUAUUUAAAGUGUUAAAUAUUUGUAUAAAUGAUGAUUGAAAUAAUUGUGUUUGAAUUAUUUCAAAAACAUAUCUUAUCUUACAUACACUUGCAUGUUUUUGACAAAACUCACAAAUCAACACACACACCCACCUUAUCUUCCCUAAAACCGGCCACUCCCUCAAAGGGAGUACUUUUGGGGCUUUUAUGCAAUUACAUAAAGUUUUGAUACUUUUGUGUAUUUGCACUUUGGCCCAAAAGUUUACGUUUUUACGUUUAGGUCCAAAAACGCUAAAGGACAAAUUGUUUUGUUCCUUUAAUGAUGUUUUUGCAUUAUUAAAAGUUUGGGUUCUAGUUGUAUUUACAUGAAGUUGUGACUUUUGUGUAUUAUACAAAGUGACCCCAAAAGUUUUUGUAUUUGCAAUAUGGCCCAAAAGUUGAGGUUAAUUGCAAGAUGGCCCA
rnacentral:lncRNA from 1 species